GCUUAUGCGUUGUUGGGUAGGGGAGCGUUCUGUAAGCCUGUGAAGGUGUGUCGUGAGGCAUGCUGGAGGUAUCAGAAGUGCGAAUGCUGACAUAAGUAACGAUAAAGCGGGUGAAAAGCCCGCUCGCCGGAAGACCAAGGGUUCCUGUCCAACGUUAAUCGGGGCAGGGUGAGUCGACCCCUAAGGCGAGGCCGAAAGGCGUAGUCGAUGGGAAACGGGUUAAUAUUCCCGUACUUGGUGUUACUGCGAAGGGGGGACGGAGAAGGCUAUGUUGGCCGGGCGACGGUUGUCCCGGUUUAAGCGUGUAGGUGUGUGUUCCAGGUAAAUCCGGUUCACUUUAACACUGAGGCGUGAUGACGAGGCACUACGGUGCUGAAGUAACAAAUGCCCUGCUUCCAGGAAAAGCCUCUAAGCAUCAGGUAACAUCAAAUCGUACCCCAAACCGACACAGGUGGUCAGGUAGAGAAUACCAAGGCGCUUGAGAGAACUCGGGUGAAGGAACUAGGCAAAAUGGUGCCGUAACUUCGGGAGAAGGCACGCUGACACGUAGGUGAAGUGAUUUACUCACGGAGCUGAA
rnacentral:rRNA from 2 species